rnacentral:rRNA from 1 species
CGCAACCCCUAUUGUUAGUUGCCAUCAUUCAGUUGGGCACUCUAGCGAGACUGCCGGUAAUAAACCGGAGGAAGGUGGGGAUGACGUCAAAUCAUCAUGCCCCUUAUGACCUGGGCUACACACGUGCUACAAUGGUUGGUACAACGAGUUGCGAGUCGGUGACGGCGAGCUAAUCUCUUAAAGCCAAUCUCAGUUCGGAUUGUAGGCUGCAACUCGCCUACAUGAAGUCGGAAUCGCUAGUAAUCGCGGAUCAGCACGCCCGCGGUCCAUCGUUCCGGCCUU